GUGCUCAUGUCAGCAGCACAUAUACUAAAACUGGAACAAUACAGAGAAGAAGAGCAUGGCCCCUGUGCAAGGAUGGCAUGCAAAUUCAUUAAGUGUACCAUAUUUUU